rnacentral:lncRNA from 1 species
UGAACCUCCAUCUUCCAGGUCCUCUGGGAAGGGGAUGAAGAGAAGGAAGCAAAGGGAAGGGAGUGAAUGCCAGGGAAUUUGUAUUUUCAAUUAAAUCCCAGGGACUAAGUGGAAAAGAAAAAAGAGUAUUCAGUCUGGAGCUCUCAAGUCAAGCCGGGGAACUUCUCCUUAAAACAGAUGGAUCAUCUCCAGCUCAUCAAACCUCCAGCUCAAAGUGGCAUAAAAAAGAAUGUGUAAUAGCUUUAUUUAGAAAGAAGUUCUGGAAGAGGAUGUCUUCAAGCACCAACAGACCCCACAGAGGCGGAUUCCACUCAGCCACAUGUUCAGUUCUUCCCCAGCAUUCCAACACAGAGCCACUCUAACAGAAUCUCAGGAUGCCACCUUUCACAAAUGGUCAUCAAAUUAAAAAUUUUCAGAGCUCCUUUGUUGCAAGACUUCAGAGAACAGCUAAAAUGAACUUCAUGCCAUGUACUGUAUACAGCCCAAUGAUGCCCCUUGAUGACAAGAGGGAAUGAGUCACCACCAGCUUCAGGGAUUUGGAAGAAAUGUCAAUGAAGUCAUGAAUAAUAGGUGCUGCACUGACACCUAAGAAGGUUAAGGUCAGGAAUUAGUUGGCAGGGAAGAAAAUUGUGAAGGAGGCCACCCACAGCUCUACAGAGCUUCAGUAGCUUGUGUCAUCUGAUUGGAUAG